AAUCAACGCUGGCGGCGUGCCUAACACAUGCAAGUCGAACGCGAAAGGGACUUCGGUCCUGAGUAGAGUGGCGAACGGGUGAGUAACACGUGGGUGACCUACCUUCGAAUGGGGGAUAACGUCCCGAAAGGGACGCUAAUACCGCAUAACAUCCUGUCCUUGAACGGAUGGAGAUCAAAGCCGGGGAUCGCAAGACCUGGCGUUUGAAGAGGGGCCCGCGUCCGAUUAGCUAGUUGGUGAGGUAACGGCUCACCAAGGCGACGAUCGGUAACCGGCCUGAGAGGGCGGACGGUCACACUGGGACUGAGACACGGCCCAGACUCCUACGGGAGGCAGCAGUGGGGAAUUGUUCACAAUGGGCGCAAGCCUGAUGACGCAACGCCGCGUGGAGGAUGAAGGUCUUCGGA
rnacentral:rRNA from 1 species